GGCAGCGUAGCUCAGUUGGUUAGAGCAUCGGAAUCAUAAAUCGAGGGUCGCUGGUUCAAAUCCAGCCGCUGCUACCA
rnacentral:tRNA from 1 species